rnacentral:rRNA from 1 species
CCUACGGGCGGCAGCAGUGGGGAAUAUUGCACAAUGGGCGCAAGCCUGAUGCAGUCAUGCCGCGUGUGUGGAGAAGGCCUUCGGGUUGUAAAGCACUUUCAGCGGGGAGGAAGGCGGUGAGGUUAAUAACCUCAUCGAUUGACGUUACCCGCAGAAGAAGCACCGGCUAACUCCGUGCCAGCAGCCGCGGUAAUACGGAGGGUGCAAGCGUUAAUCGGAAUUACUGGGCGUAAAGCGCACGCAGGCGGUCUGUCAAGUCGGAUGUGAAAUCCCCGGGCUCAACCUGGGAACUGCAUUCGAAACUGGCAGGCUAGAGUCUUGUAGAGGGGGGUAGAAUUCCAGGUGUAGCGGUGAAAUGCGUAGAGAUCUGGAGGAAUACCGGUGGCGAAGGCGGCCCCCUGGACAAAGACUGACGCUCAGGUGCGAAAGCGUGGGGAGCAAACAGGAUUAGAUACCCUUGUAGCC